rnacentral:rRNA from 1 species
GGGCUUGACAUCCCACGAACCUGCUGUAAGGCAGGAGUGCCCGCAAGGGAGCGCGGAGACAGGUGGUGCAUGGCUGUCGUCAGCUCGUGUCGUGAGAUGUUGGGUUAAGUCCCGCAACGAGCGCAACCCUCACCCCUUGUUGCUACCAGGUAAAGCUGGGCACUCUAGGGGAACUGCCCCGGUCAACGGGGAGGAAGGCAGGGAUGACGUCAAGUCAUCAUGCCCCUUACGUCCUGGGCUACACAUGUGCUACAAUGGCCGGUACAAAGGGAUGCCACACCGCGAGGUAGAGCUAAACCCAAAAAGCCGGUCUAAGUUCAGAUUGGAGUCUGCAACUCGACUCCAUGAAGGAGGAAUCGCUAGUAAUCGCGUAUCAGCACGACGCGGUGAAUACGUUCCCGGGCCUUGUACACACCGCCCGUCACACCACGAAAGCCAGCUGUACUCGAAGUCGCUGAG